rnacentral:rRNA from 1 species
CCUACGGGUGGCAGCAGUGGGGGAUAUUGCACAAUGGGGGAAACCCUGAUGCAGCGACGCCGCGUGGGUGAAGAAGCGCCUCGGCGCGUAAAGCCCUGUCAGCAGGGAAGAAAAUGACGGUACCUGAAGAAGAAGCCCCGGCUAACUACGUGCCAGCAGCCGCGGUAAUACGUAGGGUGCAAGCGUUAUCCGGAUUUACUGGGUGUAAAGGGGGCGCAGACGGCGUUGCAAGCCAGGAGUGAAAGCCCGGGGCCCAACCCCGGGACUGCUGUUGAAACUGCGUGGCUAGAGUGCAGGAGGGGCAGGCGGAAUGCCUGGUGUAGCGGUGAAAUGCGUAGAGAUCAGGAGGAACACCGGUGGCGAAGGCAGCCUGCUGGACUGCAACUGACGUUGAGGCCCGAAAGCGUGGGGAGCAAACAGGAUUAGAUACCCUUGUAGUC